CAAAGGGUAGUUUAAAGUUAAAAUAAUAGUUUUGGGAAUUAUUGAUAAUCUUAUUGGUUUCCUUUGA
rnacentral:tRNA from 1 species